AAUCAACGCUGGCGGCGUGCCUCAGACAUGCAAGUCGAACGCGAAAGGCUCCUUCGGGGGCCGAGUAGAGUGGCGCACGGGUGAGUAACACGUAGGUAAUUUGCCUUUGGGUGGGGAAUAACUCAGGGAAACUUGAGCUAAUACCGCAUAAUGCAGCGGCUCGACAUCGAGACAGUUGUUAAAGCGGGGGAUCGCAAGACCUCGCGCCUGAAGAGAAGCCUGCGGCAGAUUAGCUAGUUGGUAGGGUAAUGGCCUACCAAGGCGACGAUCUGUAACCGGCCUGAGAGGGCGGUCGGUCACACUGACACUGACAUACGGGUCAGACUCCUACGGGAGGCAGCAGUCGGGAAUUUUGGGCAAUGGGCGCAAGCCUGACCCAGCAACGCCGCGUGAAGGAUGAAAUCCCUCGGGAUGUAAACUUCGCAAGAAUGGGAAGAAUAAGUAGGGGACAAUACCCCUAUGAUGACGGUACCAUUUGUAAGCUCGGCUAACUUCGUGCCAGC
rnacentral:rRNA from 1 species